UAUUGGUCAUUUAAGGCCACAACUUUUUUUUUACUUUUUUAUUUUUUUUGCACAGUAAACAUAAAUUGUACUAAAAAUGUAAUCUCUCUGGACAGUGACAGUCUUUAUUACUGUACCUUAUUACAUACUUCUUUAAUUCAUCAUUUCAAUCUUCUUGUACAAGUUACUGUAUAAUUUACUAGGUCAAAAAUUCUGUAAGUUUUUUUUUUUACAUUACAGUACAGUGCAUACAGUACAGUACAUGAUGAAUUAUGAGAUAUUAUAGGAAAAAGUGAUCUCACAUGCAUUCUCCAGAAGGUGGAGCUCCAGGAACCAUCCUAGUUCAGUCUCAGUUCAGUUGUUUAAAAACAGAGCAGACAUACACUGAGUCAGUCAUACUCAGAGAGAGAACUGGAAGUCUUGACUCUCAAAGUUAUUGUCUUUCAUUAGUGUAGAUGUUGUCCCUCGUAUUUAUUAUAUUUUCUCUCCUAAAAGAGAAUGCUGGUGAAGAUGUCAUAAAACCUGUCUUGACAGAGAAGCAGGUUUUGGAAGGAAAAGAUGUUACACUGAUCUGCAGCUACACUGUCACUGUUCAGAGUUUACAAUGGUAUCGUCAGUAUCCCGGAUCCAAACCUGAGCACCUCAUUAUGUUCUUUGAGACCAUCCUCAAAUCAGAGCCCGCUCUCCGUCUGACCGCUGCAGCUGAUAAAGCAGCCAAAAGUAUGAAUCUGACCAUCUCUUCUACAGAAGUGAAAGACUCUGCCGUGUACUAUUGUGCCCUGCAGCCCACAGUGACAGGAAACACAACUGCACUGUACAAAAACAGAAAGCCUGGAUCAAAACCAGAGUUUCUGCUGCUGAUUGUUGAGUCUUCUAAGUAUGUCAACAAAGCUGACCAACCUCAUCCACAUAUGUCCAUCAGACUCCAUGAUAAUAAAAGUGUGGAUCUGGAGAUCUCCUCUGCUGCUGUAUCAGACUCUGCAGUGUAUUACUGUGCCCUGCAGCCCACAGUGGAGCUCCAGGAACCAUCCUAG